AUACGGAGGGUGCAAGCGUUAAUCGGAAUUACUGGGCGUAAAGCGCACGCAGGCGGUCUGUCAAGUCGGAUGUGAAAUCCCCGGGCUCAACCUGGGAACUGCAUCCGAAACUGGCAGGCUUGAGUCUCGUAGAGGGGGGUAGAAUUCCAGGUGUAGCGGUGAAAUGCGUAGAGAUCUGGAGGAAUACCGGUGGCGAAGGCGGCCCCCUGGACGAAGACUGACGCUCAGGUGCGAAAGCGUGGGGAGCAAACAGGAUUAGAUACCCUGGUAGUCCACGCCGUAAACGAUGUCGACUUGGAGGUUGUUCCCUUGAGGAGUGGCUUCCGGAGCUAACGCGUUAAGUCGACCGCCUGGGGAGUACGGCCGCAAGGUUAAA
rnacentral:rRNA from 1 species